CUUAUUAUGCAAAGGAACCCAAUCCCAGCGUCCACUGGAAGAAGACUGCCCAGGACUUCUACCUUCCCGGGAACAUCUGCCCAGAGUCCACCAGCUGGAAGAAGACUGCCCAGGACUUCUACCUUCCUGGGAACAUCUGCAUCAGACUCUGUGGGGCUGCUAGGCAGGGGAGUGGAAUGGAGAUGUCGUAACCUCCCAGGAGUGGCAGGGCCCCUUGCGUGAACACAGUUCUCUGGAGAAGGGAGCAGCCAACACUCCUAGCAGCUGGGGAAUGGAAGCAUCUGCUGAGAAAAAGGAUCUGGGCAGGACACCCACAACGUCUUCUACAGUGACCAACAGGUAGCUCCAAGACAAACCCCCUCACUCUGCCCUUCCAACCUCAUUACCCACCCCUAGUGCCUCUUAGUGGGAAGAUCAGUGAAGGCUUCCCUACCAGUCUGGGCAACAUAGCCAGACCCAGU
rnacentral:lncRNA from 1 species